rnacentral:lncRNA from 1 species
UGAUGCUGGUAGAGCACACGCCCAGAACCACCGCCAGGUACACAAGUCACUGGACAAGGUGGGAAGGCAUCUUACUCAAUCAAUGGACCUUAUUCUAAAGCGGGAAGGGCACUGAGAGUAUAGGGAGGGUAUCUCUCAAAUGAGGAGUCUACGACCUGCUUCAGGGGAAGGCCAACAACUUCUUGGAUUUUAUGACCUGCUUCAGGGGAGAAGGACAAGGGAAGUACAGCGCCUACAACAAUGCAAAGGCUAGAAGGAAUGAAGGCAGGGACAUGGAAUGGAGAAUUUCCAUUUCACGGAUCCACAUAAACUGAAAAGGAACAAGAGUCGGUGAGACCAAAGAGCACUGAAGGCCAUGAACCACCACCAUUCUCAACCCCUGGGCCAGGCAAGAAAAGCCACGGUUCCUGGAAGGGAUGACGACAGACACAGUGACCAAAGCUACAGGGGCCUCCAGAGGAAACGGUGAGAACCACAGGAGAAAGGGGGUCUUUGCUGCUGACGGCGAGCACCCAAGCCCAAGCUCCCAGUGGUGAUCUCUCACAAGACCACACAGCCGAUUUCCCUGGAGACAGCACAACCUGUUAAGGGCAUCUUCCAUGCCAUUAAGGGCUUACUGAAUUAUUUUCAUCCAUGCCCUUUUAAAAUAUGGUUGGUAGAAAUUUGCCAUUUGAGACUAGAAUCCCAUUCGGAAUCAUGUAAGUCUCUUUUGACUCCACGAGGACAUCUUUCACCCAGUUUUGGGAAAUCUGAGGAAUGGAUUCUUCUACAGACUGAUAAAAUAUCACAAGGUCCAAGAGUUUGUGUGAGAAAGAGGACAUCAAGUGAUGGAUGUGAACGUGGUAGACAUACAAUGGAAGGCAAGAAGGUAUCUCAACACAGCAGAACAAGACCCCAUGAGGAGCCCAGAAAAAAAAUAAAGAAGGUUCCUCACUGGUUAGGAAUUCAAAAGCAGUCCUGGCAACCUCAUAGCAUCUUUACCUCAGAAGCAGGCAGCUCUGGUUACUCCACCAUUUUCAGGAACAAGGUUUUUCUCUCCCCCUCUGCUGCAUUUCCUCUGCGGCUCCUGAUCCAUCUGCCUCUACCUUCUUCCUAGCAUCAAAUUUCCUCCCAGGAGACAACAUGAAUGGGUUAAGAAGUACCCAAUGAGGGCUGCUCCAACUGGACAGCAUCUUUGAAACUGGGACCUCACAGAUGGUCAUCACAGGCCCCUGAUGCCUGGGUACCCAGCGACCAACCCCAGUCUAGUCUGUCUAUAGCAACAUAGGUGAAGGGGAGUCUCAGGGGCUGCCUAAAGGGCUCAGAAUGUGGUGAGUACUUAAGACUGCAUGGAUUUUCACUGUUUACAUGAAUAUAGGACAAGUAUUCACAGAACUAUUAGCUAGAUCUGUGAACAAAACAUUAAUAACAUUGUAUGUCCAUGUCUGAACCCCUGAAAUUCCAACAACCACCACCCGCCUACCAACUUGCAGCAAACCGGCUCUCUCCACAGUCUUCCCCAGAUCAGGGAGAAACAAUUCCAUCCUUCCAGUACUCAGACUGUAAAACUGGAUUCAUUCUGAUUCCUCUCUCACACAUCCCACACCUGAUCUGACAGGAAAUCCUAUAAACUCUGCCAUUAAAAUAUAUCCAGAAACAGGCCAGGCACAAUGGCUCAUGCCUCUAAUCCCAGCACUUUGGGAGGUCGAGGCGGGCGGAUCAUGAGGUCAGGAGUUCGAGACCAGCUUGGCCUACAUGGCAAAACCCUGUCUCUACUAAAAAUACAAAAAUUAGCUAGGUGUGGUGAUGCACACCUGUAAUCCCAGCUACUUGGGAGGCUGAGCUAGGAGAAUCACUUGAACCCGGGAGGCACAGGCUGCAGUAAGCCAAGAUCGUGCCACUGCACUCCAGCCUGGGCGACAGAGUAAGACUC